rnacentral:lncRNA from 1 species
GUGAAAUCAAAGAUCAUCAGGAGCAAAUGACUUACUUCAGUGGGGGGUGGGGGAUCCCAGAUGAGCUCCCAAGAUGGUACCGGCAGGAGUCAGGGUUCAUGUUACAGAGAGUUGAAGAAUGAAUACUGCAAACACCAAGGUAAACAAAUGAGCAGGAAUUUUAUUAAAAUGGGAAAUGAAAGAAGCACUCAGAACCCCCGGUGCAGUGUACCUGGAAGGGGCUAGAAUUCUCUUUAAAAAAUAAAAUGAAUGCCCUUUAAGUCUUACAGCAUUCCUCUAUCUGUCUAUCGAUUGAUCUAUUUAUUUAUUUUAGUACCAGGGAUUGAACCCUGCAGUACUUAACCACUGAGCCACAUCCCCAGCCCUUUUUAUUUUUUAUUUGGAUAUAGGGUCUCACUACGUUGCUGAGGAUGGCUUUCAACUUGCCAUCCACUUGCUUCAGCCUCCAGAGCCGCUGGGAUUACAAGUGGGUACCACCAGGCCCGGCUAGCAUUCCUUCUCUUAAAAGCACCUAAGGAGAAGUUGAUAAGCUCCUUUUGAUUACUUCUUGGUAUUUCAGUUAUCUUGCUCGGGUGCAGGCAGGCUUAUAGUUUCUAUCCAGGAGAUGGAGAGCAACGCCUUUGAGAAACAGAAACUGUUUUAUGACAUGCUGGGACAUGUUGAAAUAACCCUUCUCCUGCUUGCCCUCUUGCGGACCUUCACUGUCCCUUCACUCCUCUGGACACCUGUCCUUUCCUUUCAGUGAGACCCUUGCCUGGGUAGCUGCUGCUCUGACAAGAGAUAAUCGCCUUUCCUUCAUUAAUCAUUGUGAUGAUUUCCAUUCUAGCUCAAAAAAUUUUUCAGUUUAGAAAACUUCUCAACCUCCCUGUUCAAUGCAGAGCCUCCUCCUCCCACGCCUGUUCCCCCUUUCCUCCUGAAGCCUGGUUUCCUGCAAGUUCUCUCCAGCCACGCCCUGGCCAGCAUGUGCUCUGCUUUAUGUCCUUGGUGCCACGGGGAUCAUUAACUUCUCUGUUGCACUUAUCAAUUAGGAAAGCUUUGCCACUGUUGGAUGCACCUCGGUCCCCUGAGGGAGGAGGCUGGAGGGGAUGUCUGUGACAGAGCUACAUGCCCCUCCCAUCUGGAGCCCCGCCCUCUGCCCUGAGUCAGGCUUUGGGCAGUUAAUCCGUCUGGCAGCUGUGUCCCCUCUUGCUAAGUGUUCUCUGUCCUGCUUCCCCAGGGGAAGCCAGAAGGAGAAGACCUACCUUGCCAUGGACUCUGGGGUCAGCAACUGUGGGCACGAUGGCAGCUUGGUGAGUGCUGGUGGAGAUGGGGGGGAGAGGAAAAGGGGAGCAGG